rnacentral:rRNA from 1 species
GACGAGGGGUCCUAGCGUUGCUCGGAAUUAUUGGGCGUAAAGCGUGCGUAGGUGGUUGUUUAAGUCUGUUGUGAAAGCCCUGGGCUCAACCUGGGAAUUGCAGUGGAUACUGGGCGACUAGAGUGUGGUAGAGGGUAGUGGAAUUCCCGGUGUAGCAGUGAAAUGCGUAGAGAUCGGGAGGAACAUCCAUGGCGAAGGCAGCUACCUGGACCAACACUGACACUGAGGCACGAAAGCGUGGGGAGCAAACAGGG